ACGUCCAGGGUGUAGAGCUUGUGAUGCCGGCAGUAAGACAGAGCCAGAGAGCACCAUGCCGCCAGCUGUUUCUGUCUCGUAUCAACAUUGGGCUGUAGUCUGUCCACAAAGAGAUGAACAGAGGAUGUAAAAGGACACACAGCACAAGGACACCAGAAACACUUCACUCCAUCUAUGAGCCACAGCCUGACGUGAACCACAUCACGUUCCGGCCAUCCGAAACCGUACCUCGGAUGUAGCCUUUCUCCUUGACGGACUGCAGCGUGGGCCGUUUCAUGAGGAACUUCAUCAGCUUGGUGCGAACCCUCUUCUGGUCCGCGUCUCCAGCAGAGCUGGAUGAGGGUGUGACAGUCACCCUGGAGGCUGGAGUAAAGCCACAUUAGACAUUUAUAGACGCUGCCUGUAAUUGUAGCCUAACUGGGUCAAAACGACGACAUCAUUCACGCUACUUACACCUUCGCUUCUCCACGCUGCCUCCGGACUUGUCGUCUCGUGCUACAUCGAAACCUGCUAUCUUCUCGUAUAAGUCGCCGUCCUCCUCCUCUGAGUGAUGGUCCUGGUACUCCUGAAGCACAGACGUACAAAGUGACUAAAUUUCUCACAGUUAAACUUGAAUUAAAAAGUAUUUCAUCAGGGUAUUUGAACCUCCACUACACAAAUCUUAUUCCUCUCGAGUUAUUUUGUCUGUGAAUCAGUCCUGAAACUAUUUAUUUUUUAAAAAUAACAGAAUAUUUCCAAUGUAAAUCAACUUGUGGAAAAUAGUUUCUAAAAAUAAAAUGUCAGUGCUG